rnacentral:rRNA from 1 species
UACAGGGGGUGCAAACGUUGCUCGGAAUUAUUGGGCGUAAAGGGCUCGUAGGCGGUCUGUUGCGUCGGGAGUGAAAACUCAGGGCUUAACCCUGAGCCUGCUUCCGAUACGGGCAGACUAGAGGUAUGCAGGGGAGAACGGAAUUCCUGGUGUAGCGGUGAAAUGCGCAGAUAUCAGGAGGAACACCGGUGGCGAAGGCGGUUCUCUGGGCAUUACCUGACGCUGAGGAGCGAAAGUGUGGGGAGCGAACAGG